UCUUCGUAGGUGAACCUGCGGAGGGAUCAUUAAUGGAUGUUGAGUUUAGCAUGUGAAAAUCAUGACUAACUCACAACUAUUUACCACAAACACUGUGAACCUUUUAUUUCGCUCAUUAAUUUGAGUGAUUUAAAAACACUUGUGAUUAUAAAAAAGUCUAUGAUGUAUCAAUUUUCAAUUGAGAAACUAUUUAAACAACUAUAAACGGUGGAUCUCUUGGCUCUCGCAUCGAUGAAGAACGCAGC
rnacentral:misc_RNA from 1 species